GAUGAACGCUGGCGGCGUGCCUAACACAUGCAAGUCGAGCGAUUUACUUCGGUAAAGAGCGGCGGACGGGUGAGUAACGCGUGGGUAACCUGCCCUGUACACACGGAUAACAUACCGAAAGGUAUGCUAAUACGGGAUAAUAUGCUUUAGUCGCAUGGCUAAAGUAUCAAAGCUCCGGCGGUACAGGAUGGACCCGCGUCUGAUUAGCUAGUUGGUAAGGUAACGGCUUACCAAGGCGACGAUCAGUAGCCGACCUGAGAGGGUGAUCGGCCACAUUGGAACUGAGACACGGUCCAAACUCCUACGGGAGGCAGCAGUGGGGAAUAUUGCACAAUGGGCGAAAGCCUGAUGCAGCAACGCCGCGUGAGCGAUGAGGCCUUCGGGUCGUAAAGCUCUGUCUUCAAGGAAGAUAAUGACGGUACUUGAGGAGGAAGCCCCGGCUAACUACGUGCCAGCCGCCGCCGUAA
rnacentral:rRNA from 1 species